rnacentral:lncRNA from 1 species
UUAUCCGGGCUUGGGACCGGCAAAAAGAGUAUCCAACAAAUCCAAAUUUUAAAAACAAAUUAAGCAUGUCUGUCAUAUAACCAUAGUGAGGAGUAUUGUCAGAUGACACAUGUACAAUAAGUUGACAAUUUAAAACCUCAUAAAAUGUAAAAUAAGAGGAAAAUAAGGAAAUAUAGUAAUGUACAUAGGAUAAUUAAAUUUACUAUAUAAUUAUUGAGUAAUAUGUUUUUUUAAAAGAAGAACAUACAUAUAUGUGAGUAUUUUAAGUAGAUAAUAUGGUAAUUUAAAAUAGAAGACAACAAAAUAUUAUUUAUAUAUCCUCAUAAAACAUUAUUUUAAGUAGAUAAGUAAAUAAAAAAUACACAACUCAGUGGUGGGUGGUUGAAAACCAAUCAAUUACUCUAUGUAAUCCACCACCCCACGUUUCUCACAUAAUCCAAGGUGGAGUCCAUCCUAUUACUACCUUUGACCCCUUGGAAAGUGGAAACCCUUCAUUUUAAAUUUAUUUCGUUUCUUCUUCUUCCUACAGAACUCAAACUUUUUUUUCUUCUUCUCCAUUGCAUAACCAGGCUGAAAUCCAGAAGGCUUAAAACCAAUCAAUUGCUUUCUCUCUCUCUCUUCGCGCUUUCUCUUCCCUCGUCCGCGCACAUACGGCAAGCUGCAGAAAUUCUGCAUAAGGCUCCGCUGAUAUGAUAAAAAUUGAGAGUUGCAGAUCCGAUGAAGAGCU